rnacentral:rRNA from 1 species
CUACGUGCCAGCAGCCGCGGUAAUACGUAGGGUGCGAGCGUUAAUCGGAAUUACUGGGCGUAAAGCGAGCGCAGACGGUUACUUAAGCAGGAUGUGAAAUCCCCGGGCUUAACCUGGGAACUGCGUUCUGAACUGGGUAGCUAGAGUAUGUCAGAGGGGGGUAGAAUUCCACGUGUAGCAGUGAAAUGCGUAGAGAUGUGGAGGAAUACCGAUGGCGAAGGCAGCCCCCUGGGAUAAUACUGACGUUCAUGCUCGAAAGCGUGGGUAGCAAACAGGAUUAGAUACCCUGGUAGUCCACGCCCUAAACGAUGUCGAUUAGCUGUUGGGCAACUUGAUUGCUUAGUAGCGUAGCUAACGCGUGAAAUCGACCGCCUGGGGAGUACGGUCGCAAGAUUAAAACUCAAAGGAAUUGACGGGGACCCGCACAAGCGGUGGAUGAUGUGGAUUAAUUCGAUGCAACGCGAAGAACCUUACCUGGUCUUGACAU